rnacentral:rRNA from 1 species
UCGGGAAUCUUGCACAAUGGGCGAAAGCCUGACGCAGCCAUGCCGCGUGAAUGAUGAAGGUCUUAGGAUUGUAAAAUUCUUUCACCGGGGACGAUAAUGACGGUACCCGGAGAAGAAGCCCCGGCUAACUUCGUGCCAGCAGCCGCGGUAAUACGAAGGGGGCUAGCGUUGCUCGGAAUUACUGGGCGUAAAGGGAGCGUAGGCGGAUAGUUUAGUCAGAGGUGAAAGCCCAGGGCUCAACCUUGGAAUUGCCUUUGAUACUGGCUAUCUUGAGUAUGGAAGAGGUAUGUGGAACUCCGAGUGUAGAGGUGAAAUUCGUAGAUAUUCGGAAGAACACCAGUGGCGAAGGCGACAUACUGGUCCAUUACUGACGCUGAGGCUCGAAAGCGUGGGGAGCAAACA